CUUUCCUGGAUGAUCAGUUUCUUAGAAGACUUUUAAAAAAUUUACUCUAUAUUUUCCUAUGGAAAACUUCGACCCCCACUGUGAUCAAAACUUACUCCCAGGGACCAUGGUUUGAACAUGCUUGAAUCUACUAUAUCAGAGGAUGCUUCCACACAAGUUUCAGCUUAUCUGGUCAAAUAGUUUUUGAGAAGAAGAUUUUUGAAAAAUAUCAACAGAUAUUUAAUAAAUCUUAAAUAUCUCCCUUUGAAGAAAGCAUGGCCCUUCAUUUUAACAAACUUGAAUUCCCUUUACCAAAUAUUGCUUUGUGCCAAGUUUGGUUGAAUUUGCCCCAUUGGUUCUGGAGAAGAAAUCGAAAAUGUAAACAGUUUACAAACAGACGGACGGACGGACGCCGGACAAAAAUGUGAUCAGAAAAGCUUACUUGAGCUUUUAGCUCAGGUGAGCUAAGAAGUAAAAAAAAAUUAAAACAUUUCAUUUUUAGCUCGCCUGAGCUGAAAGCUUAAGUGAGCUAUUCUGAUCACAUUUUGUCCGUCGUCCGUCUGUCCGUCUGUAAACUUCUCUAAAACCAGUUUAAUAAAGUAGUAAAAUACAAUUCAUUCUAUCGGUAAUUCGGUAUAAUCUGAUGCGUAUUUAUGGAUUAAUGCAAUGUGUUUUGUUGAGAUGCUCAGCAUUUUCUUGAGUUUAUUCAGUUUAAAUUGAGUUUAAUAUCGCGGACGGAAAUAUAUAGGUAUAUGCAUGUAUAUGAUUCAUUUUAAAAAAUAAAUUGUGCUCUUUAUAUU
rnacentral:sRNA from 1 species